UCCGCAGUGGGCCGAGCGGCGGGCCACGGCUCUCCGUGGGGCUCAUAAAGGCCGCUGGACCAUCAGCGCUUCCUCGCUGCUGGUUGCUGGUCGUUUUCGUUAACAGGGACUGAGUCGCUCUUCAUACACGCCUCUGAAAUAGGAGGAUACCGUCUAAGCUGGGGAGUGCUGCAGAGGCCAGUGACCUUGUCCACCCAGGCUUUUGCUCUGCAGACCCUUUCCAAAUGCCACUGGAGACUUCCUGUAAAGCUGGUAAAAUGAACUGUUACAGAUAUUUCUGCUGUGACUCUGAACUGCUCUUACCAAGCAGCUCGUGGGCCCUGACUGGAGAGAUGAGACAACACGGAGAAAAGAGAGCUGUAGGCAGAGACUUUGUAGUGAAGAGGUUGACCUGGGUAAUAUGACAUGACUUCUCUUAUCCCAGCUACUGUGAUAGUAGGCUUCUCCUGUAGCAAUACAACUGUUGAUCAGUAAGAGAUCUGCGAACAUCGGAGUUGGAGAGAUGGGGAGAAAGAGUUUCAAUUUGAUCGUUAAAAGGCACAGAAUGCUUUCAUCGUUUUGGUGUUGCCAGCUGUCACCAGAGGUGUCCUUGAACGGUCUUUCAGAGUUCCUUGGCAUCGUGAUCCAGACUUUUUCCAUGUGGAUCCUGCAUUGUCCAUGUCUUGUGCCCCUGGAGCUGAUUGUGGAUAACUGGGGAGAGUAUUUGGGAUAAAGAAAUGAAACGCACGAGGGAAGUUCCAUGUUCCCGAGGGAAUGCUUUAGGUACCACGUGCAGCUUCUGAACCGCACCGAUAAUUCCAGCUCCCACAGAAGCCUUCCAAAGCUGGAACAGACAGGGAAGAAAAUUCCAAGAAUGAUGGGAGGUGCUUUCUCCCAGGACUGGACGGCACUGAGAUGCUGGAACUGCCUCUCUGGAUGUGUGCUGAGCUCUUGCAUCUAUGGACUGUGCAGCCUUAAUUGCUGCAGCUUCCUGUUGUCACUGGAGAAUUGGAAAUAAUUAUUAAUUAGACCACAGAGAUGUUUUCUGAAACCUUUCCCUUCUUUUUGCCUUUAGUGGUAGAGCUUUUUCUGCCUUUUGAAUUUGCAGUGAUUCUCUGAUGUCAUUCACCUACCCAAAUUCGUUGCAGCUCCUGAAGAAAAGCUUCUCCUGUGGCUAAGGUUCAGUGGAAAAAAUGAUACCAUGUGUUCCGCCUCCAUAAUAAAUAUAACUGCUCUUUAUAUCUUGGAGUGUAGACUUAGUUGAUCCUUUUUCAACAGAAAGUGGCAGGCUGAACUUACCUGAAUUACUGAACCAUGCCUUGGAUAGUUGAGUUGAUAGUUGAAAGAAAAAAAAACCCCAGGCCUUUUGUCUGGGGGUUUUAUUGGUAUUGCUCCUUAAUUGAGCCACACCUUUAAAUAAUGACCUGGGCACCUUCUAGAAACAGCUUGCAGUACAUUUUGGACUUUCUCAUGGGACCUCCGGGCUCACGUUUUUCCAUUGCUGAGCUAGUUACAGGGCCAAGCUGACAGUGUCCCGUGCGUCUGGUGUUCAUUGAUCUGUUUGUGAUAUUCAUUUCAUUUGGAUGCAGAGUUGGGCUUUUGGGGCAGAUGAUGCCCCUCAAGCCACAAGGCUUGUUUAAACCUUGUACUCUACUUUUUGAAGAUCCAGAGUGGGUGAGGACUUUGUCUUGUUGCUGUAUUAAGGAAUGGCAUUCAGGAAGUUCCUACAAUAUUCACACUGAAGUUGAAAUGUUCGAGGAUAUAAGUGUGAUGGUUCUCAGGGAUGAAUCUUGCUCCCAGCAGUCUGUAGCAUGGUAUUUAUUUUGAUCAUUUAGCCAGAUGUAAUAAAAAUUUUACUUUAAAAGCAAA